rnacentral:rRNA from 1 species
AGAGUUUGAUCCUGGCUCAGAUUGAACGCUGGCGGCAUGCCUUACACAUGCAAGUCGAACGCGAAAGGGGGGCAACCCCCGAGUAGAGUGGCGAACGGGUGAGUAAUACAUCGGAACGUGCCCAGUAGCGGGGGAUAACCUCUCGAAAGAGAGGCUAAUACCGCAUACGACCUACGGGUGAAAGAGGGGGAUCGCAAGACCUCUCACUAUUGGAGCGGCCGAUGUCGGAUUAGCUAGUUGGUGGGGUAAAGGCCUACCAAGGCGACGAUCCGUAGCUGGUCUGAGAGGACGACCAGCCACACUGGAACUGAGACACGGUCCAGACUCCUACGGGAGGCAGCAGUGGGGAAUUUUGGACAAUGGGCGCAAGCCUGAUCCAGCCAUGCCGCGUGGGUGAAGAAGGCCUUCGGGUUGUAAAGCCCUUUCGGCUGGGACGAAAAGGUCCGUGCUAACACCACGGAUCCAUGACGGUACCAGCAGAAGAAGCACCGGCUAACUACGUGCCAGCAGCCGCGGUAAUACGUAGGGUGCAGGCGCUAAUCGGAAUUACUGGGCGUAAAGCGUGCGCAGGCGGUCUAUUAAGACAGGUGUGAAAUCCCCGGGCUUAACCUGGGAACUGCGCUUGUAACUGAUAGGCUGGAGUGUGGCAGAGGGGGGUGGAAUUCCACGUGUAGCAGUGAAAUGCGUAGAGAUGUGGAGGAACACCGAUGGCGAAGGCAGCCCCCUGGGCUAACACUGACGCUCAUGCACGAAAGCGUGGGGAGCAAACAGGAUUAGAUACCCUAGUAGUCC